rnacentral:lncRNA from 12 species
GGAAUGGCUCCCAAGGAACCCAGAAAUCCAUCCACAAAAGAAGAGCACGGAUUCGGUCCUGCAGAUAAUCAGGUACCACUGUGAAAAAUAGUGAGCCACUGCACUGCAGAGAAAUUUGUGGAUUCUGGAAAAAAAUUAAGAUAAGGGAAAAAAAAAAGAUAAUUCGCAUGUCUUAAUAUAUUUAAGUAAGUGUAUGUCUGCAAACCUACACACACCCCUGCUGCAUCCUUCAGAUUAACGCUGUUGGGAAUUUUCCUGGAAGCGAGCUCAGCCCCCAAGCCAAGCACUGCGGCGCUGGGCAGCGGUGACCAGCACAAACAGCUGUCCUUCCCUGCGCUCCCGGCGCCUGCCCCAGCUGCUGUCCUGCCCCGCAGCAGCGGCGCUUUGGGAACAGGCGCGGCAAAGCAAGGCAAAGGAGGAGAGCGAAGGCAGCAGGGGAGCACCAGAGAGAUCGCCGCAGUGUCUUCUGCACCAGGGACGGUCGCUGUUUUUACCUUCAGACGGCGGCGGAGGGGGACGCGCGGUGCCGCUGGUUCCUGCCACCGCGUUUGCCCGGGGCUCUCUCCCGUUCGAGGACAGCACUGAGUGCCAGAGUCAAAGCAGCGAUUCUCGGUCGUGCCCCGACCCACUGCGUGCCGGCCGGACACUGCAACAACCGGCUUUGUGUCAUGGCAUAGACACUAGCCUACAGCAGGAACCCGGGAGGCAGAGAUCUAGCACCGGCGAGUGGUUAUUUCACUCUGUUUGCAGCAUCUGCGCAGCUUCCAGGUCAGGCACGUUGUGCCUAGCUGGGUUGAAGAAGUUUAGGAAGAGUCUGUGUCUCUGAGUGUAGAUGUGGUUGAAGAAUUUAUUGGCCGGUUUUUUGGACUGUUUCACUGUAAACAAAACGGGAUUUUGAUACUGUAUUUAAAUAAUCCUCAGUUACAACCAGACUCCAUGUACAGUCUUACCUGUGCUAACUGUAUAGCUAAUGGUUUGUCAUUAAUGUCUUGAGUCUUCUCAUUGCGUCUGUGCAAUGCUGAUGUGAUGAUCCACGGCACAAGAUUUGGCUGUUUCUCAGGGCGUUUAACAAGUCUAACAGAAGGCUGUUCCAGGGAUUUUGAUACCUCAGCUAACUUGAACGUGCCAAGACCUUUGUAUGUUGUUUAUGGAAACCUUAGGUUUACACUUCUUUCUAAAGCAAUUUCUUUUAUCAUUCCUGAGGAGUUUUCUUGCCCCGAAGAGCUGUAGACCUCAUGUUGUUUAAUGUCCUCUCUGGCGAAUGAGGGAAUAAAAUGCACGGUACAUUAAAUGAAUUAAAAUAUUAAUUCAAUAACAACCUCCUUUCAAAAGAGAAAAUGAUUCUUUAGUAUUCCAUUUUAUUCCUUUCUGUUUGUCUUAGUAACUUAGGCGUAUUAUCUUUUGCUAGUACUUUUAGAUUACCUCUUCAGUUAACUUCCUGACUUCUGAUUUAUACUUUGUCCAUUUCUUUUGUAUUAUAACCUGCUUGAUCAAUUAGAUUGGAAGGUGUGCAACAGUUUUUUCAGCCUUUUUAUGAGCCAUAAGAGGGUGCCACUUCCAAUUACUCUACUAGCAAUAAAGAGGAAAUGCAGAGUGUUAUAAAAAUACACAAAAAUGAAAAAAAAAAUUAAAAUCUUAUGAGCGUUUGACAAGAAUUUUGGAUAAGAGCUAGUUGACAUACCCUUAAAUCAAAACAUGAAGUGAGGAUACAGGAUUUGUGGGUGGGAUGUACACUUGGGAGGUGGGAGGACCCUCUCUAGAGUUUGCCUUCUGACAUUUACCUUCUUGGUAUGCUGUAUAAACACAGAUGACAACUUACUGUGGCCUAUCAACCAGUGGUGUUUCCCAAAUAACUGGUUGAUCUCUAGAGUGUAUUUCCACCAGCUGGAGUGACACAGCAGACAGCUGCACAUAUGUGAAAUACUUUCCUCGUAUCACUUUUCCAUGUGAGCCACUACUGCAAUUGUGACAGGGAUGUGGCUCACUCAUUAAUGGGAAGGGAGCUGGCCCACAAAAUGUUGAGUAGGUAGAAAAGCAGCUUGCAAAGCUGCAUCUCUUAAGUUGAGGUCUUCCACUAUGAAAGCACUUGAGAACUUCUCAGCCUAUGGAUUUUGAUACGUACCAUAACUAUCAAAGAAAGAAACAGAGAGGAGAAAGUCUUACCCAAAGCAUGAGCAAAGGAGAAGCAGAAUGAGUGUUAAUCUUUUUUUUUCAAGUUAUGAUGAGUUACAGCAUAAAAUGCUGACUCUUGAUAUUCGUAACUUUACUUGCAUGGAAAAUUUUUGACUUCUGUGAGAGAUGCCUCUCUGUUGCUUGUUUUCCUCUCAUCCCUCCCAUUUGCUCUCAGUGUUCAGACAAUAUUUCAGCAGCAAUUGUUUAAAAGAGGAGAUCAGAACCAUUUAUGGCUGAGAGUUUUAAGACUAAUCAAUUUCUUAUUGUUUUUAAACAGCAUACCUUGUGACUGACCUUCUCUUUUUUCCAAAAUAUCUUCAGCUGGGC